rnacentral:rRNA from 1 species
AUUGAACGCUGGCGGCAUGCCUUACACAUGCAAGUCGAACGGUAGCGGGCCUUCGGGUGCCGACGAGUGGCGAACGGUUGAGUAAUGUAUCGGAACGUACCUUUCAGUGGGGGAUAACGUAGCGAAAGUUGCGCUAAUACCGCAUAUUCUGUGAGCAGGAAAGCAGGGGAUCGCAAGACCUUGCGCUGAUUGAGCGGCCGAUAUCAGAUUAGCUAGUUGGUGAGGUAAAGGCUCACCAAGGCGACGAUCUGUAGCGGGUCUGAGAGGAUGAUCCGCCACACUGGAACUGAGACACGGUCCAGACUCCUACGGGAGGCAGCAGUGGGGAAUUUUGGACAAUGGGGGCAACCCUGAUCCAGCCAUGCCGCGUGAGUGAAGGAGGCCUUCGGGUUGUAAAGCUCUUUCGGCCGGGAAGAAAUCGUAUCAGCUAAUACCUGGUGCGGAUGACGGUACCGGCAUAAGAAGCACCGGCUAACUACGUGCCAGCAGCCGCAGUAACAC